UACGGGGGGAGCAAACGUUGUUCGGAAUCACUGGGCGUAAAGGGUGCGUAGGCGGCUUCUUAAGUCUGGUGUGAAAUCUCCCGGCUCAACUGGGAGGGUGCGUUAGAUACUGGCAGGCUUGAGUGUGGGAGAGGAGAGCGGAAUUCCUGGUGUAGCGGUGAAAUGCGUAGAUAUCAGGAGGAACGCCUGUGGUGUAGACGGCUCUCUGGACCAUUACUGACACUGAGGUACGAAAGCGUGGGUAGCAAACAGG
rnacentral:rRNA from 1 species